ACGUAGGUGGCAAGCGUUGUCCGGAAUUACUGGGUGUAAAGGGAGUGUAGGCGGGAUAUCAAGUCAGAAGUGAAAAUUACGGGCUCAACUCGUAACCUGCUUUUGAAACUGACAUUCUUGAGUGAAGUAGAGGCAAGCGGAAUUCCUAGUGUAGCGGUGAAAUGCGUAGAUAUUAGGAGGAACACCAGUGGCGAAGGCGGCUUGCUGGGCUUUUACUGACGCUGAGGCUCGAAAGCGUGGGGAGCAAACAG
rnacentral:rRNA from 1 species